rnacentral:rRNA from 1 species
UACGGGGGGAGCAAGCGUUGUUCGGAUUUACUGGGCGUAAAGGGCGCGUAGGCGGCCACCGCAAGUCGACUGUGAAAUCUCCGGGCUUAACUCGGAAAGGUCAGCCGAUACUGCGGGGCUAGAGUGCAGAAGGGGCAACUGGAAUUCUCGGUGUAGCGGUGAAAUGCGUAGAUAUCGAGAGGAACACCGGUGGCGAAGGCGGCCUUCUGGACAGUGACUGACGCUGAGACGCGAAAGCGUGGGGAGCAAACAGG